rnacentral:snRNA from 1 species
AUCGCUUCUCGGCCUUUUGGCUAAGAUCAAGUGUAAGAUUAUCAGUUCUACCACCCCUAAUACUGCUCUUUGUGAUACAAUUUCCAAAAUUAGUAUUUUAAACAAGUUAUUGCUUAUAUAUAGGAAUAUUA